rnacentral:rRNA from 1 species
UACGAAGGGGGCUAGCGUUGCUCGGAAUCACUGGGCGUAAAGGGUGCGUAGGCGGGUUCUUAAGUCAGAGGUGAAAUCCUGGAGCUCAACUCCAGAACUGCCUUUGAUACUGAGAGUCUUGAGUAUGACAGAGGUGAGUGGAACUGCGAGUGUAGAGGUGAAAUUCGUAGAUAUUCGCAAGAACACCAGUGGCGAAGGCGGCUCACUGGCCCGGUACUGACGCUGAGGUGCGAAAGCGUGGGGAGCAAACAGG